rnacentral:tRNA from 1 species
GGUUGUGGCUCAGUGGUAGAAUGCUUGUCUGGCAUGCACAAGGCACUGGGUUUGAUCCUCAGCACCA